UACGUAGGUGGCAAGCGUUGUCCGGAUUUAUUGGGUUUAAAGGGUGCGUAGGCGGUUUAUUAAGUCAGUCGUUAAAUUACCCAGCUUAACUGGGGGCCUGCGAAUGAUACUGAUAGACUUGAGUACAAAUGAGGUUGGCGGAAUUAAUAGUGUAGCGGUGAAAUGCAUAGAUAUUAUUAAGAACUCCGAUAGCGAAGGCAGCUAACCAAGAUGUAACUGACGCUGAUGCACGAAAGUAUGGGGAUCAAACAGG
rnacentral:rRNA from 1 species